AUCAAAUAAAGAGUGGCCACAGCGCCCACAUUUAGCGCCGUCAUCAAUACGUUCUUCCGGCAGGCGAUUAGUCGCCAUACAAGCUGUACAUACCGUAUUCAUAAAUUAGCCUUUAUUUUGUAUCUCAUUAGAUAAGAGAAACCAAACAGUCAAAGUGAGCUGAAUUGUUUCGUUGUUGUUAUCUAUUAUGAGUAUAAAUGAGGUCAGUGCCAAAAAGGUUUAUUCGAUGAAUACGAUAGUUGGUAGCUUUUAGCGCUUGCUUAUGGCUAACCGAGCAGACAUCAGGUAAUCUUCGCGCCCUGCGCGUUGGUGGAGAAGACAAUGAACGAUUCAUUUAGUGGCAAGAACGGCAAAGUUAAAGUGAUGUACGUCCGCAGUGACGAAAGCAGCGACGACCGUAACAGCAAUAACCGUAGUAACAAGCAACGUCCAGCAGGUAAAGGUCGUCCGGGUGAUAAUGCUGGUCGAGGCAGUUCACCGCGUAAUAAUGACUCACGUCGUAACGAUUCCGGCCGUAAUGAACGCGAUCGUCCUAGCCGUCCGGCUCGUUCUGACAGCAGUGGCCCUUACGAUUCACCGUGGAAAACCGUGUCUCGUGCGCCAUCUGAAGAGCCAGAGUUUGAUCACGGCGGUAUCAGCGGUAAAAGCCAUGUGGACCCGGCACAAUUGCGCCGUCAGCGGGCUGAAGAAACGCGUGUUUAUGGCGAGAAUGCCUGUAAAGCGCUGUUUGAAAGCCGCCCUGAUGCUAUCGUGCGCGCCUGGUUUGUGCAGUCAGUGACUCCCCGUUUCCGCGAAGCGCUGAAAUGGAUGGCGGCUAACCGCAAGGCUUACCAUGUGGUUGAAGAAGAUGAGCUGGCGAAAGCAUCCGGCACAGAGCACCACGGUGGCGUGUGUUUCCUGAUUAAAAAACGUCAGGGUUUGGAUGCGGAAACCUAUCUGCAACAGCAGACUCAGGCGAAAGAUUGUGUAUUGGCGCUGGAAGAUGUGGGUAACCCACAUAAUCUGGGUGGCAUCAUGCGUACCUGUGCACACUUUGGUAUUAACGGCGUGUUGUUGCAAGACCCGGCGAUGCUGGAGUCAGGUGCUGCAGUACGUACAGCAGAAGGCGGUGCAGAGCAUAUCAAGGCAAUCAAUGCUGAUGAUUUCCUCUCUGUGCUGGAUACCUUCCGUAAAGCGGGUUACACCAUCGUCACCACUUCAAGCCAUAAAGGUGUCAGUCUGGCGAAAGCUGAACUGCCAGCCAAAAUGGUGCUGGUAUUAGGUCAAGAGAGUGAUGGUCUGACCGACAGUGCUUGGCAGCAGGGUGAUAUGAGUGUGUCUAUCGGCGGUACCGGGCGAGUUGAAAGUCUGAACGUGUCGGUGGCGACGGGGAUUUUGCUGUCAGAAUGGUGGCGUCAAAAUAGCGCCCAAUAAUACCCUGCGUCCUUGACGUUGCAGGGUUGUUAGCUGCGUUCAUGCACCCGAAUCACAUACUUGAGUAUGCUCAUCGGGAUACAUUUACUUGCUGCCUACCUGCAACGCCAAUGACUUUGGGUAUGUCCCUGCGUUCUUGAUGUUGCGGGGGAGUUAGCUGCGUUCAUGCACCCGAAUCACAUACUUGAGUAUGCUCAUCGGGAUACAUUUACUUGCUGCCUACCUGCAACGCCAAUGACUUUGGGUAUGCUCAGUAUAAAAAACGGGCGCUGAUGAUUAGUCAGCNAGAGAACUCGGGUGAAGGAACUAGGCAAAAUGGUGCCGUAACUUCGGGAGAAGGCACGCUGGCAUUAGGUAAAGAGACUUGCUCUCGUAGCCGAAGCCAGUCGCAGAUACCAGCUGGCUGCAACUGUUUAAUAAAAACACAGCACUGUGCAAACACGAAAGUGGACGUAUACGGUGUGACGCCUGCCCGGUGCUGGAAGGUUAAUUGAUGGGGUCAGCCGCAAGGCGAAGCUCUUGAUCGAAGCCCCAGUAAACGGCGGCCGUAACUAUAACGGUCCUAAGGUAGCGAAAUUCCUUGUCGGGUAAGUUCCGACCUGCACGAAUGGCGUAAUGAUGGCCAGGCUGUCUCCACCCGAGACUCAGUGAAAUUGAACUCGCUGUGAAGAUGCAGUGUACCCGCGGCAAGACGGAAAGACCCCGUGAACCUUUACUAUAGCUUGACACUGAACAUUGAGCCUUGAUGUGUAGGAUAGGUGGGAGGCAUCGAAGCGUGGACGCCAGUCUGCGUGGAGCCAACCUUGAAAUACCACCCUUUAAUGUUUGAUGUUCUAACUCGGCCCCGUAAUCCGGGGUGAGGACAGUGUCUGGUGGGUAGUUUGACUGGGGCGGUCUCCUCCCAAAGAGUAACGGAGGAGCACGAAGGUUAGCUAAUCACGGUCGGACAUCGUGAGGUUAGUGCAAAGGCAUAAGCUAGCUUGACUGCGAGAGUGACGGCUCGAGCAGGUACGAAAGUAGGUCUUAGUGAUCCGGUGGUUCUGAAUGGAAGGGCCAUCGCUCAACGGAUAAAAGGUACUCCGGGGAUAACAGGCUGAUACCGCCCAAGAGUUCAUAUCGACGGCGGUGUUUGGCACCUCGAUGUCGGCUCAUCACAUCCUGGGGCUGAAGUAGGUCCCAAGGGUAUGGCUGUUCGCCAUUUAAAGUGGUACGCGAGCUGGGUUUAGAACGUCGUGAGACAGUUCGGUCCCUAUCUGCCGUGGGCGUUGGAAGAUUGAGAGGGGCUGCUCCUAGUACGAGAGGACCGGAGUGGACGAAUCACUGGUGUUCGGGUUGUCAUGCCAAUGGCAUUGCCCGGUAGCUAAAUUCGGAAGAGAUAACCGCUGAAAGCAUCUAAGCGGGAAACUUGCCUCGAGAUGAGUCUUCCCUGGGGCUUUAAGCCCCCUGAAGGAACGUUAAAGACUAUGACGUUGAUAGGCUGGGUGUGUAAGUGCAGCGAUGCAUUGAGCUAACCAGUACUAAUGAUCCGUGAGGCUUAACCUU
rnacentral:rRNA from 1 species